rnacentral:rRNA from 1 species
GACGAACGCUGGCGGCGUGCUUAACACAUGCAAGUCGAACGGAAAGGCCCUGCUUUUGUGGGGUGCUCGAGUGGCGAACGGGUGAGUAACACGUGAGUAACCUGCCCAUGACUUUGGGAUAACUUCAGGCAACUGGGGCUAAUACCGGAUAUGAGCUCCUGCUGCGUGGUGGGGGUUGGAAAGUUUCGGUGGUGGGGGAUGGACUCGCGGCUUAUCAGCUUGUUGGUGGGGUGGUGGCUUACCAAGGCUUUGACGGGUAGCCGGGCUGAGAGGGUGUCCAGCCACAUUGGGACUGUGAUACGGCCCAGACUCCUACGGGAGGGAGAAGUGGGGAAUAUUGUACAAUGGGCGGAAGCCUGAUGCAGCAACGCCGCGUGCGGGAUGAGGGCCUUCGGGUUGUAAACCGCUUUUGCAUGUGACGAAGCGAGAGUGACGGUAAUGGGUAAAGAAGCACCGGCUAACUACGUG